GUUGGGCAUGGUGACCGAUGCCUGUAAUCCUAGCAACUCGGGAGGCUGAGGCAGGAGGAUUGCGAGUUUGAGGCCAGCCUCAGCAACUUAGCAAAACCCUGUCUCAA
rnacentral:sRNA from 1 species